rnacentral:tRNA from 1 species
CGGCUUCGUGGCCUAGUGGUUAGGGCAUCCCGCUUGUAGGUCUUCGACCACAGCAACGGGGGAUCACGCGUUCGAUCCGCGUCGGAGCCUU